AUGAAGUUUGUCUGCAAUGCAAUCAAUGUAGGCUAUAUAACGGAAAAAGAAACCACACUGUUCCCCAAACCAAAUUCUAAUCAUAUGGAAACCAGCACUGGAGGUGGGAUAUUUGAGUGUCUGUGGAGGCCUCUGAGAAGAGUCUGGAGACUCCUGCGCUGCCGUGGACCUGAAAUAAAACUUUCAGUGGAAGAAACCUCACCACAUUUUAGUGGCCAUAGCUCUGUCCGUCCGUGGUGAAGAGCCUCAAGUUGUUUCUCUUCACUGAGGUGAGAUGAUCAUUUUGAAUGAAUUGAUGUCCAGCCAUACAACAGAGUUCUUGGACCUACGUUUUAAACCCAAGUUUAAAGACUGAGAAGAUGGAUAUUCUUCCUCUCAAAUCAUCUGCCCUGCUGUUCAACAUAUCCGCCUGACCGCCAUACCAACAUGGAAUGGAUUUCUACUUCCAGAAUGUAAUGUGUAACAACCAAGUUACUUUGUCAUUUCUGCCUACUCAGGGGACCACAAUUUGCACAAGCUUCUCCGUGGUUGUCUCCUCAAACCUCUGGACACCAUGAUCUUCUUUUUUGCCAAACUGACAAAGACAGUAGUGCACAAACAGACCUAAGUUGGUUGGUUUAGGUCCAUGCAUGGAGGCAUUAGCUGGCCAACUUGAACAUAAUGAAGCGCUGUACAAAUGAAGUGCUAUACCAAUGAAGUGUCCUUAGAUUUUAGAUUUUUGUUGUUUUAAAUAUUGUCUAAAAGCUGUGCAUGAAUAUUUUCAUACAUAAAUCAUGAUUCAUCCAUAGCUUCAUAAUUUUUUAGUAAAUUUGCCAAGUUUUUACACCAACUUUGUUUGCUCUCAGAUGAGAAUGCACCUCUACAGAGCAAGGUCAGGUUGACAUUCGUUGUGAAUCUGAACUUUAUGCACUUAAAUAUGCAGCAACUUAUAAGUGACUGUGGCCUGAUAUCUUUUGAUAUGUUUCCAUUAGGUUUCGUGCUGGUCAGUUCUCCACAGGGUAGUUAAUGAUUGUGUCUAGUACUUACAAUGGUUUCUUACAAUGGAUUGUACCACUGCUGAUGGAUUUUUCAUGCUGUUCUACUUGAACCUCUUAAGCCCAAGACACACUGCACGAUUUGAGCAAUUCUAUAAGAUCAUUGCAUGUCACACUGUGUGACAUGGAUCUAAUAAACUUGGCUAUGACGUAGACUGUACGUUGAUG
ensembl:lncRNA